UUUUAUUUUGUAAAAAUUAUAUUUUACUUAAGUAUUAUGAAGGAUGUUGUUAAAUGAUGAUAGUGUUGAUAUAUUUAAAACUUAAAAAGUUUGGCGGUUUUACAUAUCCAGUUAGGGGAGUUUGUUAAUUUAAAUUGAUAAUCCUCAUUUUAAACUUACUUUUUUUUGUAUUAUGUACAGUUUGUAUAUUGCUGUCGGUAGUUUAUGUUUUAAGAAUUUAUUAAAAGACUGAUGAAUAUUAUUUAUUUUUAUGUCAAGUCAUAAUGCAGCUUAUAAAAAAGGUUUAAUGAACUACUAUAAUUAAUUUUAUUAAAUUCCGGAUUUUAGAAAUUAUAUUUUAUUAGAAAGGUGGACUUAAUAGUAAUAGAUUUAGAUAAUUAGUAUGUAUUGUUGAAUAAUGGUUUUGUAAAGUG
rnacentral:rRNA from 1 species